CCGGAUCGGAGUCUGCAACUCGACUCCGUGAAGUCGGAAUCGCUAGUAAUCGUAGAUCAGAAUGCUACGGUGAAUACGUUCCCGGGCCUUGUACACACCGCCCGUCACACCAUGGGAGUGGGCUGCACCAGAAGUGGUUAGUUUAACCCCUUUUCUUCGGAUUAGGGGAGGACGAUCACCACGGUGUGGUUCAUGACUGGGGUGAAGUCGUAACAAGGUAGCCCUAGGGGAACCUGGGGCUGGAUCACCUCCUUAAACGAUAGAU
rnacentral:rRNA from 1 species